rnacentral:rRNA from 1 species
CAAACGGGUGAGUAACACGUGGGAAUCUGCCCAAAAGUGGGGAACAACUCCUCGAAAGAGGAGCUAAUACCGCAUACGGUCCUGUUAAAGGGACUAAAGCCUCGCAAGAGGCGCUUUUGGAGGAGCCUGCGGCUGAUUAGCUAGUUGGUGGGGUAAAGGCCUACCAAGGCGAUGAUCAGUAGCUGGUCUGAGAGGAUGGACAGCCACACUGGGACUGAGAUACGGCCCAG